rnacentral:tRNA from 1 species
GCAGUCGUGGCCGAGUGGUUAAGAUGGACUAGAAAUCCAUUGGGGUCUCCCGGGCACAGGUUCGAAUCCUGUCGACUGCG